GGGCCAUUAGCUCAGCUGGUUAGAGCACAGUCCUGAUAAGACUGGGGUCUGUGGUUCGAGUCCACAAUGGCCCACCA
rnacentral:tRNA from 4 species